rnacentral:rRNA from 1 species
CUUGGUCAUUUAGAGGAAGUAAAAGUCGUAACAAGGUUUCCGUAGGUGAACCUGCGGAAGGAUCAUUAACGAAUCGUCCGGACUGUGCUGGCUUCGGCACGUGCACGUCCGCGAAUCCAACACACCCUGUGCACCUUUGACCCCGGAUUCCGCGCGAGCGGAGGAAGGGGUAUUACACACGCUUUUUAUCGUAUGUGACCUUUUUGAUUUGGCCUCUGUGCCGAUGAAAUGUACAACUUUCAACAACGGAUCUCUUGGCUCUCGCAUCGAUGAAGAACGCAGCGAAAUGCGAUAAGUAAUGUGAAUUGCAGAAUUCAGUGAAUCAUCGAAUCUUUGAACGCACCUUGCACCCUUUGGUAUUCCGAAGGGUAUGCCCGUUUGAGUGUCAUUGUAAUCUCACACCUCGAGCUUUUCGCUCGGGGAGGUGGACUUGGAGGUUCUGUCGCCCUUGACCGGGCGGCUCCUCUCGAAAGCGUCAGUGCGCUCCUGGUCGAGCGUGAACCGGUGUGAUAAGUGUUUCGCCGGUGGUUCGACCUCUUGGAGCCGCUCACAAUCGUCCCUCGGGACCGUCGCUCCGCGGCGUUUUGACUAUUUGACCUCAAAUCGGGUAGGACUACCCGCUGAACUUAAGCAUAUCAAUAAGCGGAGGAAAAGAAACUAACAAGGAUUCCCCUAGUAACGGCGAGUGAAGAGGGAUGAGCUCAAAUUUUGAAUCUGGCGCCUCCGGCGUCCGAGUUGUAAUCUAUAGAAGUGUUUUCCGCGGCGGACCUUGCACAAGUCUCCUGGAACGGAGCGUCGUAGAGGGUGAGAAUCCCGUACAUGGCAAGGACUCCCGUCGCUCUGCGAUACACUCUCGACGAGUCGAGUUGUUUGGGAAUGCAGCUCAAAGUGGGUGGUAAAUUCCAUCUAAAGCUAAAUAUUGGCGAGAGACCGAUAGCGAACAAGUACCGUGAGGGAAAGAUGAAAAGCACUUUGGAAAGAGAGUGAAACAGUACGUGAANUUGUUGAAAGGGAAACGCUUGAAGU